rnacentral:rRNA from 3 species
AGCAUUUUAGUUUGCUUGCAAACUGAAGAUGGCGACCGGCGCACGGGUGAGUAACACGUAUCCAACCUGCCGAUAACUCCGGAAUAGCCUUUCGAAAGAAAGAUUAAUACCGGAUGGUAUACGAAUAUCGCAUGAUAUUUUUAUUAAAGAAUUUCGGUUAUCGAUGGGGAUGCGUUCCAUUAGUUUGUUGGCGGGGUAACGGCCCACCAAGACUACGAUGGAUAGGGGUUCUGAGAGGAAGGUCCCCCACAUUGGAACUGAGACACGGUCCAAACUCCUACGGGAGGCAGCAGUGAGGAAUAUUGGUCAAUGGGGCCUGAACAGCCAAGUACGUGAAGGCUUGGGAACUUCUUUUAUAUGGGAAUAAAGUUUUCCACGUGUGGAAUUUUGUAUGUACCAUAUGAAUAAGGAUCGGCUAACUCCGUGCCAGCAGCCGCGGUAAUACGGAGGAUCCGAGCGUUAUCCGGAUUUAUUGGGUUUAAAGGGAGCGUAGGUGGAUUGUUAAGUCAGUUGUGAAAGUUUGCGGCUCAACCGUAAAAUUGCAGUUGAAACUGGCAGUCUUGAGUACAGUAGAGGUGGGCGGAAUUCGUGGUGUAGCGGUGAAAUGCUUAGAUAUCACGAAGAACUCCGAUUGCGAAGGCAGCUCACUAGACUGUCACUGACACUGAUGCUCGAAAGUGUGGGUAUCAAACAGGAUUAGAUACCCUGGUAGUCCACACAGUAAACGAUGAAUACUCGCUGUUUGCGAUAUACAGUAAGCGGCCAAGCGAAAGCAUUAAGUAUUCCACCUGGGGAGUACGCCGGCAACGGUGAAACUCAAAGGAAUUGACGGGGGCCCGCACAAGCGGAGGAACAUGUGGUUUAAUUCGAUGAUACGCGAGGAACCUUACCCGGGCUUAAAUUGCAACAGAAUAUAUUGGAAACAGUAUAGCCGUGAAGCUGUUGUGAAUGUGCUGCAUGGUUGUCGUCAGCUCGUGCCGUGAGGUGUCGGCUUAAGUGCCAUAACGAGCGCAACCCUUAUCUUUAGUUACUAACAGGUCAUGCUGAGGACUCUAGAGAGACUGCCGUCGUAAGAUGUGAGGAAGGUGGGGAUGACGUCAAAUCAGCACGGCCCUUACGUCCGGGGCUACACACGUGUUACAAUGGGGGGUACAGAAGGCGGCUACCUGGUGACAGGAUGCUAAUCCCAAAAACCUCUCUCAGUUCGGAUCGAAGUCUGCAACCCGACUUCGUGAAGCUGGAUUCGCUAGUAAUCGCGCAUCAGCCAUGGCGCGGUGAAUACGUUCCCGGGCCUUGUACACACCGCCCGUCAAGCCAUGAAAGCCGGGGGUACCUGAAGUACGUAACCGCAA